rnacentral:misc_RNA from 1 species
AGAUUGGAAGAAGGAUAGAUAGCCAACAUAUUGUGCAACACUGUUAUAGGAAGUUCAUUAAAGACUUAAAAAAUAAAAAAAGAAUGUGGCACAAUGACUAGGGAGGAAACAUCGUGGCAUUAUCACUGAAAUGGAACUAUACUUGGCACUUAGAGGAAAGUUCGGAUGUCCUAGCCAAUCCUCAGACUCUUCUACCUCGGAUAUGACUUUGGGCACUACGACUCACUAUUUUAUCUGAUGAACGGGAAGGUUUUUGGCUUCAUUUUGUCAGUAUAUUUGAAUAUUGGCAUACGUCCCUUGCCUCAAGUUGCUGAGACUCCUAAUGUUUAAGAUCCUUUUUCAACAAGACAUGGCUGCCAUGAUUAUAUGCAUAAAAUUUGGCAUGCACAUUAACUAUCAUGGUGUGAAUUUCCAUGUAAUUUUGUUCAUGAAUACCUAAUAAAAGAUACGCAUCCAGUGGUAUGUCUCAGCAACUUGAGGCAAGGGACG